rnacentral:rRNA from 1 species
UACGUAGGGAGCAAGCGUUGUCCGGAAUCAUUGGGCGUAAAGCGCGCGUAGGCGGCCCUGUAAGUCCGUUGUGAAAGUCAAAGGCUCAACCUUUGAAAGCCGAUGGAUACUGCAGGGCUAGAGUACGGAAGGGGCGAGUGGAAUUCCUGGUGUAGCGGUGGAAUGCGCAGAUAUCAGGAGGAACACCAAUAGCGAAGGCAGCUCGCUGGGACGUUACUGACGCUAAGGCGCGAAAAGCGUGGGGAGCGAACAGG